rnacentral:rRNA from 1 species
ACGAACGCUGGCGGCGUGCCUAAUACAUGCAAGUAGAACGCUGAAGGAGGAGCUUGCUCUUCUGGAUGAGUUGCGAACGGGUGAGUAACGCGUAGGUAACCUGCCUGGUAGCGGGGGAUAACUAUUGGAAACGAUAGCUAAUACCGCAUAAGAGUAGAUGUUGCAUGACAUUUGCUUAAAAGGUGCAAUUGCAUCACUACCAGAUGGACCUGCGUUGUAUUAGCUAGUUGGUGGGGUAACGGCUCACCAAGGCGACGAUACAUAGCCGACCUGAGAGGGUGAGCGGCCACACUGGGACUGAGACACGGCCCAGACUCCUACGGGAGGCAGCAGUAGGGAAUCUUCGGCAAUGGACGGAAGUCUGACCGAGCAACGCCGCGUGAGUGAAGAAGGUUUUCGGAUCGUAAAGCUCUGUUGUAAGAGAAGAACGAGUGUGAGAGUGGAAAGUUCACACUGUGACGGUAUCUUACCAGAAAGGGACGGCUAACUACGUG